AACGAACGCUGGCGGCAGGCCUAACACAUGCAAGUCGAGCGAGACCUUCGGGUCUAGCGGCGGACGGGUGAGUAACGCGUGGGAACGUGCCCUUUUCUACGGAAUAGCCUCGGGAAACUGAGCGUAAUACCGUAUACGCCCUUUGGGGGAAAGAUUUAUCGGAGAAGGAUCGGCCCGCGUUGGAUUAGGUAGUUGGUGGGGUAAUGGCCUACCAAGCCUACGAUCCAUAGCUGGUUUGAGAGGAUGAUCAGCCACACUGGGACUGAGACACGGCCAAGACUCCUACGGGAGGCAGCAGUGGGGAAUCUUAGACAAUGGGGGCAACCCUGAUCUAGCCAUGCCGCGUGAGUGAUGAAGGCCUUAGGGUUGUAAAGCUCUUUCAGCUGGGAAGAUAAUGACGGUACCAGCAGAAGAAGCCCCGGCUAACUCCGUG
rnacentral:rRNA from 1 species